AUGUACCACUCGUACGCUCCGGUUCCUGCGCGCCGUCCGCGCCCACCUGACGGCUGCUCGCUACGUUUUGUUAGCC
rnacentral:sRNA from 1 species